rnacentral:rRNA from 1 species
AACGAACGCUGGCGGCGUGCUUAAGACAUGCAAGUCGAACGGUAAGGCCCCUUCGGGGGUACACGAGUGGCGCACGGGUGAGUAACGCGUGGGUAACCUACCUUCGGGUCUGGGACAACUCCGGGAAACUGGAGCUAAUACCGGAUAAGACCACGAGGCCUUCGGGCCUUGCGGAAAAAGGUGGCCUCUUCUUGAAAGCUACCGCCCAUUGAUGAGCCCGCGUCCCAUUAGCUUGUUGGUGAGGUAACAGCUCACCAAGGCGACGAUGGGUAGCUGGUCUGAGAGGAUGAUCAGCCACACUGGAACUGAGACACGGUCCAGACUCCUACGGGAGGCAGCAGUCGGGAAUCUUGGGCAAUGGGGGCAACCCUGACCCAGCAACGCCGCGUGAGGGAUGAAGGCCCUAGGGUCGUAAACCUCUGUCAGGAGGGAAGAAUUUUUCGGGGGUGAAUAAUCCCCGGAGUUGACGGUACCUCCAAAGGAAGCGCCGGCUAACUCCGUG